GGAUAAUCUGCCCUCAGGUGAGGAAUAAUCCCGGGAAACUGGGGCUAAUGCCUCAUAGGAGACGGGUGCUGGAAUGCUCUGUCUCCGAAAGGUCCGCCGCCUGAGGAUGAGUCUGCGUCCGAUUAGGUUGUUGUUGGGGUAACGGCCCAACAAGCCUUUGAUCGGUACGGGUUGUGGGAGCAAGAGCCCGGAGAUGGAUUCUGAGACAUGAAUCCAGGCCCUACGGGGCGCAGCAGGCGCGAAAACUUUACAAUGCGAGCAAUCGUGAUAAGGAAACCCUGAGUGCCUGUCAAUGCAGGCUGUUCUGGUGUCUAACACACACCAGGAGAAAGGGCGGGGCAAGACCGGUGCCAGCCGCCGCGGUAAUACCGGCUGCUCGAGUGAUAGCCACUUUUACUGGGCUUAAAGCGUUCGUAGCUUGGUCGUUAAGUCUCUGGGGAAAUCUUUUGGCUCAACCAAAAGGCGUCUCAGGGAAACUGACGAUCUUGGAACCGGGAGAGGUAAGACGUACUUCGGGGGUAGGAGUGAAAUCUUGUAAUCCCCGAGGGACGACCGAUGGCGAAGGCAUCUUACCAGAACGGCUUCGACAGUGAGGGACGAAAGCUGGGGGAGCAAACCGGAUUAGAUACCCGGGUAGUCCCAGCCGUAAACGAUGUGCGUUAGGUGUGUCAGUGACCACGAGUCGCUGAGGUGCCGAAAGGGAAACCGUGAAACGCACCGCCUGGGAAGUACGGUCGCAAGGCUGAAACU
rnacentral:rRNA from 1 species